GACGAACGCUGGCGGCGUGCUUAACACAUGCAAGUCGAACGGAAAGGCCCUGCUUGCUGGGUCCUCGCGUGGCGAACGGGUGAGUAACACUUGGGUGAUCUGCCCUGCAUUUCGGGGUAAGCCUGGGAAACUGGACCUAAUACCGUAUAGCAUCCCUUUUUAGUGUGAUGGUCGGAAAGUUUUUUCGGUGUAGGCUGAGCUCGCGGCCUAUCAGCUUGUUGUUGGGGUAAUGGCCUACCAUGGCGGCGACGGGUAGCCGGCCUGAGAGGGUGGACGGCCACACUGGGACUGAGAGAAGGCACAGACUGCUACGGGAGGCAGCAGGGGGGAAGAGUGCACAAUGGGCGCAAGGCUGAUGCAGCGACGCCGCGGGGGGGAUGACGGCCUUCGGGGUGUAAACUCCUUUAGCGAGGGACGAAGCGUUUUGUGACGGUACCUAGAGAAGAAGCACCGGCUAACUACGUG
rnacentral:rRNA from 1 species